CCGGCGACCGGCGCACGGGUGAGUAACACGUAUGCGACCUGCCCCCCGCAGGGGGAUAACCGGGAGAAAUCCCGACUAAUACCGCGUAACGCCGCGGACCUGCAUGGGUCUGCGGCCAAAGGAAGCGAUUCCGGCGGGGGAUGGGCAUGCGGCGCAUUAGCUAGUCGGCGGGGUAACGGCCCACCGAGGCGACGAUGCGUAGGGGCUCUGAGAGGAAGGUCCCCCACACUGGUACUGAGACACGGACCAGACUCCUACGGAAGGCAGCAG
rnacentral:rRNA from 1 species